rnacentral:rRNA from 1 species
UAGGGAAUCUUCCGCAAUGGGCGAAAGCCUGACGGAGCAACGCCGCGUGAGUGAUGAAGGUCUUCGGAUCGUAAAACUCUGUUAUUAGGGAAGAACAAAUGUGUAAGUAACUAUGCACGUCUUGACGGUACCUAAUCAGAAAGCCACGGCUAACUACGUGCCAGCAGCCGCGGUAAUACGUAGGUGGCAAGCGUUAUCCGGAAUUAUUGGGCGUAAAGCGCGCGUAGGCGGUUUUUUAAGUCUGAUGUGAAAGCCCACGGCUCAACCGUGGAGGGUCAUUGGAAACUGGAAAACUUGAGUGCAGAAGAGGAAAGUGGAAUUCCAUGUGUAGCGGUGAAAUGCGCAGAGAUAUGGAGGAACACCAGUGGCGGAGGCGACUUUCUGGUCUGUAACUGACGCUGAUGUGCGAAAGCGUGGGGAUCAAACAGG